rnacentral:rRNA from 1 species
AAUGAACGUUGGCGGCGUGGAUUAGGCAUGCAAGUCGAGCGAGAACCGUAGCAAUACGGGGACAGCGGCGAAAGGGAGAGUAAUACGUGGAUACCUACCCUCGGGUCCAGGAUAGUUGUGGGAAACUGCAAGUAAUACUGGAUGACAUCUCCGGAUCAAAGGUGUGAUUCCGCCCGGGGAGGGGUCCACGUCCUAUUAGCUAGUUGGUGAGGUAACGGCUCACCAAGGCAAAGAUGGGUACGGGAUGUGAGAGCAUGAUCCCGCUCAUUGGGACUGAGACACUGCCCAGACACCUACGGGAGGCAG